UAAACUUUAGCUUGAAUACAUUAACAUGUUCCUCUCCUAUUUAUAGGAUUAAGAGGGAGAAUUUUACUCAACAGAAUAGAGGAUUUUCCUCAACAGAAUAGAUAAGAUUUCCUCAUAUAAUGGAGAAAUCUUAUCUUCUAUCAUGCCCCCGCAAGAUGGUGCUCCUGACAAGGAUACCAAUCUUGGAUCGGUAAGAAAAAGAGGCUUCGUGAGUAAGAUAAGUGUAGAUCGCUGCUGCUGUUGUUGCGAUUGCUGUUGCUGUGAUGGCACAGGCGUUCCCUUCAUUCUCCUUAAGUCUGCCGAAUGUUGACAGAUCAACGAAGACUACCGCGGCGAGGAAGAUGAGGAUUGACCACGGAGCCUCUUAGGAAUGCAACAGCGUUGGUCGCUGACCGAAGGGUGAAGCUUCACUUUUCUCAGCGACGUUGGUCGCUUGCCGAAGGCAAGAGCGAAGCUUCGCUUUUCUCAACGACGUUGGUCGUGGUUGCGAUUACAACGGCUGCGACGGUAGAAAAGAGCAAUGUUGCAGUGAUGCUACUACAGCAAAGAAGGAAACUGCAACAAAGGAGGAAGCUGUAGUAGAAGAGGAAAGUGUAGCAGAAGAAGAAGGAAAAUAGCUACAACGACGAAGAAAGGUGGGGCAGAACCCAAUUCAUCCAGUCAUUACGCUUCCUUAUUUUCUCACCCUGUACUUCCACUUCAGUUGAUAACUGCACUGUAUCCAAUAUAAAGUCAAUGCUGUUUGUUAAUUGCCUCACUCUAUUGAAUCCAGCGAUCAAGGAUAUUGGAACCCAUCCUUGCUCGUCCAUGUUUUGCCGCAGGAAAACAUCUUUACAUAAAUUAUCGGAGCUGAAAUAGUAAUCUAUCUGCUUCAAAAGACUAGCACGCUGUGGAUCAAUAGUUGGGAUAAAUACUGCAGGUGGAAGUGCCGGAUGAGGAACAAAGGGCACACCUCCAGGAGGUGGCUGAGUGGCAACAUAAAAGACAGGAGAAUGCAUAUCAGGGAAUACCAUCGGGUAAGGACGGACCUGCGAUGGAGAGGUGAGGAAUGGGGGUGCUACAGGUGGCACAGGCAUCUUGAGGUAAGGCCUGGCACCCCGGUGCGGAAUGUGGGCAUCUCUCCCACCAGCAUUCCUACGAUAUCCAUCAUAANNNNNNN
rnacentral:lncRNA from 1 species